AGCAAAGUCACUUUCCCUUCGGGGCAUUGGAGACAGGUGGUGCAUGGUUGUCGUCAGCUCGUGUCGUGAGAUGUUGGGUUAAGUCCCGCAACGAGCGCAACCCCUAUUUCCAGUAGCCAGCAAGAAAGAUGGGAACUCUGGAGAGACUGCCCGGGAUAACUGGGAGGAGGGCGGGGAUGACGUCAAAUCAUCAUGCCCCUUAUGAUCAGGGCUACACACGUGCUACAAUGGCGUAAACAAAGGGAAGCGAAGUGGUGACACGAAGCAAAUCCGAAAAAUAACGUCUCAGUUCGGAUUGUAGUCUGCAACUCGACUACAUGAAGCUGGAAUCGCUAGUAAUCGCGAAUCAGAAUGUCGUGGUGAAUACGUUCCCGGGUCUUGUACACACCGCCCGUCACACCAUGGGAGUCGGAAAUGCCCGAAGUCAGUGACCCAACCGAGAGGAGGGAGCUGCCGAAGGUGGAGCCGGUAACUGGGGUGAAGUCGUAACAAGGUAGCCGUAUCGGAAGGUGCGGC
rnacentral:rRNA from 1 species